rnacentral:rRNA from 1 species
CCUACGGGAGGCAGCAGUGGGGAAUAUUGGGCAAUGGAGGCAACUCUGACCCAGCAACGCCGCGUGAGUGAUGAAGGUCUUCGGAUUGUAAAACUCUUUAAGUGGGGACGACGAGAGUGACUGUACCCACAGAAUAAGCCUCGGCCAACUACGUGCCAGCAGCCGCGGUAAUACGUAGGAGGCAAGCGUUAUGCGGAGUGACGGGGGGUAAAGGGUGCGUAGGUGGUGUGACAAGUUAGUAGCGGAAUUCCGGGGCUCAACUCCGGAACUACUACUAAAACUGUUGGGCUUGAGUGCAGGAGAGGUGAAUGGAAUUCCUGGUGUAGCGGUGGAAUGCGUAGAUAUUAGGAGGAACACCAGCGGCGAAAGCGAUUCCCUGGACUGUAACUGACACUGAGGCACGAAAGUGUGGGGAGCAAACAGGAUUAGAUACCCUAGUAGUC